rnacentral:lncRNA from 1 species
CUAUUAUAAAAACAAGCCUUAAAUUCCACCCCUGAGAGUAAAAAUUGCUGCUUCAGCAAAUUUUGCCUGAUCUGUAGGUAAUAAUGUAAAAAUUUACCUAGAAAGUAGAACUUCAUUUUUUUUAUGUAACUUGCAAUACAUUUUUAAUUAUAAAUGCUCGCUUUAACUUUUCGCAGUGUCUGACACAUGUGCAACCUCUGAAAUUUGAGACGCGAC